rnacentral:rRNA from 1 species
CUAGUCUUAUCGGUGGAUCACUCGGUUCGUAGAUCGAUGAAGAACGCAGCCAUAUGCGUUACGUAGUGCAAACUGCAGAUACUUUGAGCACUAAGAUUUUGAAUGCACAUUGCGCCAUUGGAUUUUAUCCUUUGGCACAUCUGGUUCAGGGUUGUUU